UCACAUAUAAGUGCAGCUGCAGAGGGCUUUGCACUAUUUCUGCUUUUUUGCUCUGACAGAUAACAGUUAAGAUGAAACCACUGUUGUGUGCCUUUUUCUUCUUGCUGGUGUGCUGCGUGUUCAUCAAUGCUGAGGAGGAUACAAAAGUAAUGACAACUAAACCAGCUAAGCCCGCAGCGACAGAGAAGCCAAAGACAUCUGGUGCCAGCACUAUGGAUGGACUGUCCGCACUGCAGUUGCUGAUGACCUUGAUUCCUGCUCUCCUCUGCAAAGUGUUUUAACAGUUCAUCUCAGGCUAUGGCAUGAAGGACACACGUCAUCAAAUAAAUGAUUCCCUAUACAUGAUUGGUGUGAUUCCGGCUGAGAUGGAAGAGAUUUGUUUGGUAAAAAACACAUAGGGUAUGUUAAAGUGGUGAAAUUGUAACAUCAUAACAAAGACAAAUAAAGAGCUGUUCUGACGGCAACACAAAUAAAUUACCGAAUCAAUA